AGACGGACUUCGUCCGGAAGAAGAGAAAAGAUGGCUAGAGGGACCACGUGACCAAGAUCCAGAACGCAAGAACAGCUGCACUGUGGAAGCGCUGUGCAUAUGAUUUUAUGACAUACUUAUGGAACCGAAAUUAACGAGCAGCGCGGCUUUCAUUUUUAAACUUGGGCCAACAGCUGUAAUCCUAUUGGUGCAAAUAUAAAGUGCGUUGUGAACCAUCCCCUCACAUCUGAGCUACUGUGCAGUCCCCUAAGACCCCCCUGGUUGGAAAACAAAGACGUCCUCUACUUACCAGCUAUAAAGAAUGUGAUGAAAUUGUCCAGCAUGAUCUCAUCAUCCAUCCCGUCCUCCUGCUCUGAAAGACAAAAGAACAGACUGGGCCGUUUAUAAAAUGUAUAUGGUGAUUCCUCCAUUUACCUGCUGGUUCAGCGUCUGCACAGAACUUGCUCUGGUGAUUUGCAUUCUGGGAAAUGCCAUCUUCAGGGUACCCGCACACGGUGCCGAUUUGUAUGCAGAACAUCUGUAUGAAUUCUGCACCAAAGCCGCACAUAAAUCCACACUAUUUAUCUCGGUUUUGAUGCAUUUUUUUGUGCAGUUUUAAUGCAGGUUUUCGGUUUAUGUUAACAACCUAUUUAACCACUAUAUAUAAGGUGUGAAAUCGCACAAAGGACAUGCAUGCUUUAAAAUCUGCAGCGCAGGUCAAUUUCUGCACAUACACGAUAUUUGGCAAAUCUCACUCACGUUUCUGUAUUACGCGCGGAUUCCCGUGCAGGAAAACCGCAGCAUAAUACAGUACCAGCAAAGUGUAUAACCGGCAGAUCUCGUGUACACGAUGCUUAUUUUGGAAGAAGUACAGAAUUUAACCUGCCGUGCGGAUUUAAAAAAUGCGCAGCAUGUCAAUUGUAGAUAUAGCGAUUUUCACCAUAGACUUCAAUGGGUUUCUUAAAGGGGGUAUUCUGGGAUUUUAAUACCGAUGACCUAUCCACAGGAUAGGACAUCAAUAUCAGAUGGGCGGGGGAUCCAACACUCGGCGUCCCUGCUGAUCAGCUGGUUAAAGAGAAGGCAGCUCUCCGUGCCAGUGCAACCUUCCUUUCAUUGUUCACCUGCUGUCGACACCGCAGCCGUGAGCAGUGUAAUUACAAGACGCCAUCCCAUUCACUCUGCAGGAAGGAGCCGUCCCAUAGAAGUCAAUAGAACGGCUUCUUGUAAUUACACCUGCUUACCGCUGCGUGAGAAAGUGUAAGGUCAUCAAUAUUGAAAUUCCAGAAAACCUUUUACAUAAAAAGAAAAUCUACAUUAAAAAAAUGCUUAAAAACUGCACCAAAAUGGAUAUAAAUAGUGUGGAUUAAUGUGCAUUUUUAGGUGUAGAUUUCAUACAGAUUUUCUGCAUAUAAAGCCGCACCAUGUGCAGAUAGCCUUAGGGUGGAUUCACAUGCUGCAGACUUGUUGUAACUGAAUGGUGCCGUUUCCACAACAAAUGGGGUCGUCCCACAAAUAAUAUUCUACAGUUUUCAAACCAGCGCCUGGAUCUGAAUUCUUUUGUAACUGCCAGUAAUUACAUUUUUUUUAUAGCCACUGAGUUAAUCAAUAAAAUCUAUCUGUAUAGCGCCA